rnacentral:rRNA from 1 species
UACGUAGGGGGCAAGCGUUGUCCGGAAUCAUUGGGCGUAAAGAGCGUGUAGGCGGCCAGAUAAGUCCGCUGUGAAAACUCGAGGCUCAACUUCGAGCUGUCGGCGGAAACUAUCUGGCUAGAGUCCGGAAGAGGAGAGUGGAAUUCCUGGUGUAGCGGUGAAAUGCGCAGAUAUCAGGAAGAACACCCGUGGCGAAGGCGGCUCUCUGGGCCGAUACUGACGCUGAGGAGCGAAAGCGUGGGAGCGAACAGG